GGGGCUAUAGCUCAGUAGUAGAGUGCGUGCUUGCUGUGCAUGAGGUCCUGGGUUCAAUCCCCAGUGCCUCCU
rnacentral:tRNA from 1 species